rnacentral:SRP_RNA from 1 species
CCGUACUCCACGGGGAGUUAGCGGAUCCCUUGACUCGAACGCUUUUGCGGGGUGCAGAGCCUACUGUGAGGCUAAUGAGAGUUUGGCGGAAGUUGAUUUUAUCGUUGACAUUUUAAAUUGUAAUGGCGUAAGCUGUCGAACCGUGUCAGGGUGGAAACACAGCAGCACUAAGACAUGUCUUUACGGGUGUUAUAAGCUUAAAAUCGAGGUAAUAUCUUUCGGAAACUGAAUUUUUGUUUGUCGAUAGGUAGUGGUACGG